ensembl:lncRNA
CGAUCCAUUAUAGCUGAUGUGCGAUGCCUUCGUCUUUGCUGUGACUGUGAGGGCUUCAGAGCGCUCUGCUCGGCCGAGGAGUCAAGAGGCGUGGAGCGAUAUCAUCGGUUUGGACUUCUGUUUGAGACGAGAUGGGAUUGUGCCACUGAACGGGGUCACAUUUUCAAGUGGAUUUUGGAGUUGAACUUGAAUUACGUUUUUUGGAGUUAACCACUUGAAUGAAGUCUUUUUUUUAUGUCAGGAUAUUUUUGGGAUCCAAUAUAGCCUAUGCACCCGCUGACCAGUGAUAACACUGUUACAGAGACACACGUGAGACUUGACAUGGAGUUGUAUCUUGUGAAAACACGAAAACGUCUUAAACGUGUCCUGUCUGGAGAAAUCAGUUGUUCUUGUUGCUCUCAUGGAGCGGACCGGUACACUUCAUGGUUUUGCGCAGGGCACGCUACAGUGAAGCCGGAGCCUUGCUCUGCGGGUUGUCUGGACGAUGGCUGGGACCCUAUGGUCAGCAUGCCUUUGGGAAUAGACCGCGCUGUCACACAUACACACACACACACACACACACACACCACUCAAACACACACACACACACACACACUCACACACGGAGGAGUGAUAAUAUGAAUCUUUCCUGCGGAAAAGCACCUCUUUGGAGUACCGGUGACCUGUCUGAUGGAUUAUUGUGACAUUGGAACUUACCAAAGAAUCAACUUGUGUGGAUGAAUGGAGACAGAAGACAGCCCGUCCUGGAUUUCACACCCCAUUCCUUGACGGCACAGAGGUGUUUGUGGAACCCUGCAGAGAUGAUCCCUAGGACCUCCCUGACUGUGUCCGGCACCUGGAGAGUGUGUGUGUGUGUGUGUGUGUGUGUGUGUGUGUGUGUGUGUGUGUGUGUGUGUGUGUGUGUGUGUGUGUGACGGAUGGCUCACUCCUGUGAGUCAUAACUUUAGGCUAGUGAAGCGUCCCCCAUGCUGGAAGCGUGUGUGGAGCGCACAGCGGCGUCUACCUUGUGUGACCCCUCGCUGGGUUUCAUUCAUGCUGUGCCUACAAGAGGAUGCUUGAUUUCCUAAGCCGCUUCUCCUGGGAAAUGGACUGUGGAUAAUUUCUAACAAGAAUGUUUUUUUUUUUUUUUUUGGGGGGGGGGAAACAGAACAGGAUCUUCUCUGGAAUGUUUUUUUGGAUCAUUUAAGACAUUUUUGGGGACAUUCAAACUUUCGCGGCCUGUGGAUGCAGCAGCUUUGAUGUGCAUGUGUGUAUGCACAUAUGGCAG